CUACGGGUCGCUGCAGCUAAGAAUCUUCCGCAAUGGGCGAAAGCCUGACGGAGCGAUGCCGCGUGGAUGAUGAAGGUCGAGAGAUUGUAAAAUCCUUUUCUGAGUGAAGAAUAAAGAUUGCAGGAAAUGGCAGUCAGAUGACGUUAGCUCAGGAAUAAGCCCCGGCCAAUUACGUGCCAGCAGCCGCGGUAACACGUAAGGGGCGAGCGUUGUUCGGAAUUAUUGGGCGUAAAGGGCGCGUAGGCGGUUUAAUAAGUCUGGUGUGAAAGACCACAGCUCAACUGUGGGAACGCAUUGGAAACUGUUAGACUUGAAUUCAGUAGGGGAAGUCGGAAUUCCUGGUGUAGGAGUGAAAUCUGUUGAUAUCAGGAAGAACACCGGUGGCGAAGGCGGACUUCUGGGCUUGAAUUGACGCUGAGGCGCGAAAGCGUAGGGAGCAAACAGGAUUAGAUACCCCUGUAGUC
rnacentral:rRNA from 1 species